rnacentral:rRNA from 1 species
UACGUAGGGCGCAAGCGUUGUCCGGAAUCAUUGGGCGUAAAGAGCUCGUAGGCGGUCUGUCGCGUCUGCUGUGAAAACUCAGGGCUUAACCCUGAGCUUGCAGUGGGUACGGGCAGACUAGAGUGCGGUAGGGGAGACUGGAAUUCCUGGUGUAGCGGUGAAAUGCGCAGAUAUCAGGAGGAACACCGGUGGCGAAGGCGGGUCUCUGGGCCGUAACUGACGCUGAGGAGCGAAAGCAUGGGGAGCGAACAGG